UUGUGUCCGACUAUCCUCUAUAAAUAGCAUCAGGUGUGUGGUGUCUUCACUUCAGCCAAGAGAGUCUUUCACUUCCACACACGCACACACAUGGCAACUAUAGGAUUAUCUUCAAAGAGUGCGAAAGAAAAAGAUAAAGCAAUUGAACCAUGCUGCAAAACCUUUGCGAGAGGAAUCAACGAUGGAUGUGUCUGACGAAUCGACAUCGAUCAUGUUGCAAACCUCCCAAACGCAACAUGACUUAAGUUGGAAAUUACUUGUCUUGCAAAUCGCCGAGCGCAACACAACUCAUGUUGCAAAUCUACGAAUGCAAAAUGACCCAUGUUACAAACCUCGUCAUGCGCCAGGUGAAUCGGACGGCUAUCUCGCGGUGGAUCAUAUGUCUCGGUCUCACAACCUAGCCUCCCUUUCAAAGAUCAGCCGGUCGGCCACCAAUGCAUGUAGCGUUGUAUAAUAACCAUUUUCACGUCUGAUCAGAAAUAGUCGCUCCCGUUCCAAAAGGUUAAAAAUCGUUG
rnacentral:lncRNA from 1 species